UGCGAACUCCUACGGGAGGCAGCAGUGAGGAAUAUUGGUCAAUGGACGGAAGUCUGAACCAGCCAAGUAGCGUGCAGGAUGACGGCCCUAUGGGUUGUAAACUGCUUUUAUGCGGGGAUAAAGUUAGUCACGUGUGACUAUUUGCAGGUACCGCAUGAAUAAGGACCGGCUAAUUCCGUGCCAGCAGCCGCGGUAAUACGGAAGGUCCGGGCGUUAUCCGGAUUUAUUGGGUUUAAAGGGAGCGUAGGCCGUGGAUUAAGCGUGUUGUGAAAUGUAGACGCUCAACGUCUGACUUGCAGCGCGAACUGGUUCACUUGAGUGUGCGCAACGCAGGCGGAAUUCGUGGUGUAGCGGUGAAAUGCUUAGAUAUCACGAAGAACUCCGAUUGCGAAGGCAGCUUGCGGGAGCACAACUGACGCUGAAGCUCGAAAGUGCGGGUAUCAAACAGGAUUAGAUACCCUUGUAGUCCU
rnacentral:rRNA from 1 species